AGAUGUGAGUGUGACCUGUUUGCAACAUCUACUAUCCCACUGAUUGCCNGGUUGAGUCAGCUGAUUCAGUUGUCUAAAUUGAUGUCCUUUUCCUCCUCACUGUUCCACGUAUGUCCCUUCCAAAGAUGCAUGCUUCACAGGUUAAAGAGGGUGGCCAUUCGUCAGCCAAGGGUACUGGAGUAGCUGUACUCCCCUGCUAGAACUUCCAAACAAGAGCCAGGCAUGAUGCNUCAUACCUGCAAUCUCAGAACUUGGGACGCUGAGGAAGAAACUGCUACAAGUUUGAGGCCAACU
rnacentral:snRNA from 1 species